AAAUCACGAAUGGAAACGGACUGAGGUAGCAUCUUUGGUUCACACUAUAAAUAUCAGCAGGUCUUAACAUGUUUUUUUUUUGGUCAUUUGUUUUUCUUUUCUACAUGAGGAAGCAGCGCUCUUUUAUAUAUGCUUCGAUGUUGUAAUAGUCGUAAAUACCAAAUAUAUUUUUUAAAGCUAAAACACACCACAAGAGACAACAAGGCCAGAUAUCUUGUGAGUUUUGAGUGAGUCUGUUAUAUGAAGCGAACGCAUCACCCUUCUUCGGUCUCCAUAAUGCUUUCUUCCUAGUUGUGAAAUGCAUAGAAUGCGCUCCCUCUCUCUACAAGGGUAUUGGGCCUGAAUGGGGGACACUGCGGAGGUGUUGAUGGUCGGUGCCAUGAAAAUGAUGCAUUAGACAAUGAAAUAGCCUUCUAUCAAGAAAUUAAAAAGUAUCUAAGUGAGCUUAAUGGGAUAUGAUACAUGACAGCAGAUGGGUUUUGAGUUUUUGAAAGCAUGCUGACAGCCACACUCAUUACACUGACAUUCUAGGGUUAAGAAGUGAUGUAUGAAAGUCUGUAUAACACAAAACAACCUAACUUUCAAACUAAUUAACAGGAUCCAGACAAAGCUAACUAUACUAAAUGACAAAACACUGUGCUGAGUAGUUUUUUAAAUAAUAUCUCCCGUGUAGCUGUGCUUUAUGGAUGGAUGUGUAUAUGAAACAAUGACAGGUGCUGGUUGGUGUAACAUUAUCUUUGGUUUUCAGCAACUGGCAUUUAAAAAUACAGGUAAAAAAGGCAGGUUAAAGCUAGCAAAAAUCUCCCUGAAAUAAUCACAAGACUGAAGGACGAGAUAAGCUGUGUCCCGACAUGUGUCUGACUGAUUGAGUUAGUUUUGGGACAAAGAAGAGAUCUAAUUAUAUGUCGAAUGGCUAUAGAACCCACAGUCCAUAGUCACCUGAUUUGAACUGUAACUGGGUGUCUUGAUAAAGAGUAAUCAACAUAGUUUGGUCUGAUAAAGCAAAGCAAAUAAAUAAAUAAAUAAAUAGAUAAAUAAAUUAAAUACACGUGUUUCUUUGGUUCUACCAUCUGUGAUUGAUUGAUCGAUAAGUCGUGGAGAUGGCAAGUUCACAUGUAUUUUUGGGUUCCUAUGUGACUUUUCCAGCAAUUAGGAAGAAAGCACUAUCCUGAGGGUGACAUUCAGGAAAACUGUCAAGAUUCUACACCACCUGAUUGUAUUUGGCAUCCCUGGCUAGAUUUGGGAUACCUAAAAACACAGAGGUUAUGGGGAAGAGUGGGGAACGACCAGUGAUUGGAGUCCGUUACUCCAUCAUGCUUUGGUACAAGUGCUGGAGGAGGAGGAGUUGGCCGAGUUGGAGCUGCCGUCGUCCAGCCACUUAUCGAGGCUCCGUCGACGCGCGUUCAUGAAAAAGUUGCUGACGGUGGCGAGCUCCAGGCCCAGCUGCUGAGAGAUGGUGAUUUGUAACUCUUUGGACGGACGCUUGUUCUCUUUGAAUAUUGCAUGUAAAGUCCGACGCUGGACAUCGGUGAAGACCAACCGGGGCUUCUUGGAGAUGUUUCCCCGCUCGCCUUUACCGUGCUCCUGCUCCUUUCGUUUGCACGCUGAAAAAACAAAAUGUCGAUAUGCAAAAGUCAGACAUUUGUGGAUAUCGUAUAAAUAGAAUGAUUUAUUCGUUUAGACAUACUGUAAAUUUCUAAAAUGUUUUUUUUUUAAUCUGACAUGAAAUAGACAAAAAACACAAAUGCUUUUUGGAGGGUGAAUCAAUCAAUUAUUGCAUACCAAUUAAGAAAUAUGAAUUAUAAAAAAACUUAUUUAAAGCGAAUUUUAAACGAAGGCCAUUGAUGUUUUAAAAAAGUCCCAAGGUUGCUGUUUUUAAGAAAACCACAAGAGGGCGCUAAUAGAUGGUGGGAAACUGCUUGAGCAGGUAUUUACUUCACACGCACGCACGCACAUUGGAUUCAUCAAAUGCAGUCUACUUAAACAAAUAAUCCGACUCAAGCUAUGAAUAUGCA